GUGCCAGCCGCCGCGGUAAUACGGAGGGUGCAAGCGUUAAUCGGAAUUACUGGGCGUAAAGGGCACGCAGGCGGUUAAUUAAGUUGAAUGUGAAAUCCCCGAGCUUAACCUGGGAAUAGCAUUCAAGACUGAUUAGCUAGAGUCUUGUAGAGGGGGGUAGAAUUCCAUGUGUAGCGGUGAAAUGCGUAGAGAUGUGGAGGAAUACCAGUGGCGAAGGCGGCCCCCUGGACAAAGACUGACGCUCAUGUGCGAAAGCGUGGGGAGCAAACAGGAUUAGAUACCCUGGUAGUCCACGCUGUAAACAAUGUCGAUUUGGAGGUUGUGGUCAUAAACUGUGGCCUCCGAAGCUAACGCGUUAAAUCGACCGCCUGGGGAGUACGGCCGCAAGGUUAAAACUCAAAUGAAUUGACGG
rnacentral:rRNA from 1 species